CAGCUUUCGACAGUAAAGGACGGGUUCUUUGGUGGAAAUGGGUGUCGUGACCAUGUUAUUAGGAAUGGUGUGCGAAAGAUGAUAGUUGUUUUUACUUCCUUUGGAUUCGUUGGGGAUAAAACAUUGAAGCUAAAACCGGUGAUUUAAAGAGGUUUAAUUCAUCCAAUGCAAUAUCUUCAGAAGGAGUUGGAGCAGAUGUAACUAGAUGAUGUUACUAGAAUAACAUGGAAAGCGAGUUUUAAAAGUUCGCCUUCUGUAGCGCAUGCGCAGGAUACCGAGACUCACACUGGUGAACCCACUUUGACCUCUUCGAUACAGAAUAGAGCAUAAUGAGUUCCUCAUCACUAUUGGAACUACUAUCAUCUAACCACGGUACGUUAUUUCUAAGUGAUCUUUGGUCGCUCAAAUUAAUAAGCGUCAUUAUCGAUCACUUCUGCUACUAGCUACUAGUACCUACAGGGGUGUAUACCAUCUGACCGACCUAAAAACUGACCGACCUGCAAAUUGACCGUCCUACAAACUGACCGUCUUGCAAACUGACCGUCCUGCAAAGUGACAGUUCUGUAAACUGACCGUCCUUAUGACGUCAUAAGAAUAGUCGGACUGUCAUCAGCGGGUGGGUAUAAGUUGUUCAACUGGUGAGCUGGUCGACAGUCAAAAAUGUAGACAAAAAUAAACUUGAGUGGACUUGAACGAUAGGAUCGUUCCACCUUCCACGUUUCCACUCUGUAUAAACUUUACACUUCACGGUUUAAAGGUUAUGUUUAUGUUAACACUGCUUAAUGCUUACAUGCUUACACUUUACAGUGCGUUAUACAUUUUAUCAUUAUUUAUUAUUAUUAGAACUCACUUCAAGUUACAAAUCAAAGGUAACUGAUUUAAAACUUAAAAUACCUAUAUGAAUAUAAUUUAAAACAAUACGUUACGUAGAGCUAGCUAAUAGAAAAGUUUGAAUCAUUUUUACAUUUAUUUGUAUUAAGGUCUAAAAUAAAUUAUGUAGAAGACUAUUUCAAUCAACAGUUUUUAUUUAGAUAGGCCGUAUGUAUUGUAGCUACAAUAAUAAAGUAAAUUCUUUGUUAGUAGUACGGCAGCUUGAAAUAAUUUAUUGUGAAUAAAAAAUGUAGGCCUAUUAUGGAAACUAAUCACUAACCUAA